AUUAGUCCAUUGAUCACAACAUUUUACUAAUUACAUUACAUCUCUCAUAAUGAGUCGACAAACUAAACCCCAAAAUGUGGACCAGCUCAUAUCCCUGCGUGAUCCACCCCGGCAGUCCCGCAGCAGCAACCAGCAACCUCACAGCAGCGGCGGCAGUAGCAGCAGCAACCAGCAGUCUCGUGGCGGCAGUGGCGGCGGCAGCAACAGAGCAGCGAAAAUUGAAGACAUGGCCUAUACGCCUAACAUGACCACAAAACCCACAUGAUCACUAGGAAACAAAACAGGUACAUGCAUAUGUGGAAGUGGGAAUAAGCUUGCAGCAGCAGCAGAGAUUGUUAUUGUUGAUCAAAGAUUAUUCAUUAUUUGGUUAAUUAAUUGUAAUUCGUUAAUUAUUAUUGUUCGUUUCGUUC